AUUGAACGCUGGCGGCAGGCCUAACACAUGCAAGUCGAACGAGUGGCGGACGGGUGAGUAAUGUCUGGGAAACUGCCCGAUGGAGGGGGAUAACUACUGGAAACGGUAGCUAAUACCGCAUACCCUCGGAUGUGCCCAGAUGGGAUUAGCUAGUAGGUGGGGUAACGGCUCACCUAGGCGACGAUCCCUAGCUGGUCUGAGAGGAUGACCAGCCAACAUGGAAAUGAGACACGGUCCAGAAUCCUAAGGGAGGCAGCAGUGGGGAAUAAUGGACAAUGGGCGCAAGCCUGAUGCAGCCAAGCCGGGUGGAUGAAGAAGGCCUUCGGGUUGGAAAGUACUUUCAGCGAGGAGGCGUUACUCGCAGAAGAAGCACCGGCUAACUCCGUGCCAGCAGCCGCGGUAAUAC
rnacentral:rRNA from 1 species